AGAGUUUGAUCAUGGCUCAGAACGAACGCUGGCGGCAUGCCUAACACAUGCAAGUCGAACGCGAAAGGGAGCAAUCCCCGGUAGCGUGGCAGACGGGUGAGUAACACGUGGGUAACCUACCCGGAGGUGGGGGAUAACCCUUCGAAAGGAGGGCUAAUACCGCAUGAUACCGCGGGGACCUCGGUCCUUGCGAUCAAAGCUGGCCUCUGUUUACAAGCUAGCGCCACCGGAUGGGCCCGCGCCCCAUUAGCUAGUUGGUGAGGUAACGGCUCACCAAGGCGACGAUGGGUAGCCGGCCUGAGAGGGCGAUCGGCCACACUGGAACUGCGACACGGUCCAGACUCCUACGGGAGGCAGCAGUGAGGAAUAUUGCGCAAUGGGCGAAAGCCUGACGCAGCGACGCCGCGUGGAGGAUGAAGGCCUUCGGAUUGUAAACUCCUGUCGAGUGGGACGAAUGCCGUGAGGGUGAACAAUCCUUGCGGUUGACGGUACCGCUGAGAGC
rnacentral:rRNA from 1 species